UAAUACGUAGGUGGCAAGCGUUAUCCGGAAUUAUUGGGCGUAAAGAGCGCGCAGGUGGUUGAUUAAGUCUGAUGUGAAAGCCCACGGCUUAACCGUGGAGGGUCAUUGGAAACUGGUCGACUUGAGUGCAGAAGAGGGAAGUGGAAUUCCAUGUGUAGCGGUGAAAUGCGUAGAGAUAUGGAGGAACACCAGUGGCGAAGGCGGCUUCCUGGUCUGUAACUGACACUGAGGCGCGAAAGCGUGGGGAGCAAACAG
rnacentral:rRNA from 1 species